AUACGGAGGGUGCAAGCGUUAUCCGGAAUCAUUGGGUUUAAAGGGUUCGUAGGCGGAUUGGUAAGUCAGUGGUGAAAGUCUGCAGCUUAACUGUAGAAUUGCCAUUGAUACUGCUAGUCUUGAAUUACUGUGAAGUGAUUAGAAUGUGUAGUGUAGCGGUGAAAUGCAUAGAUAUUACACAGAAUACCAAUUGCGAAGGCAGAUCACUAACAGUAUAUUGACGCUGAGGGACGAAAGCGUGGGGAGCGAACAGGAUUAGAUACCCCAGUAGUCC
rnacentral:rRNA from 1 species